CUUCAUCAGACCGUCGGACCAGGCGACCACCUCCACUGCCCUAACAUCGACCCCGUGACACCUCUGCCCGAAGUACGCCCAAUAAUGACCAAGACAGAGCGUCGGCCACCACAUCGGGAAUACCCUGACACAAAAAACCCCAGACCAGCCGUCCCUAGAUUCAAACAGCGCCAAGCCAGGCGCCGCAACCAGAGUAACACUGGGGUAAAGUGUACUGUUACAUGACACCACGAUGGUCCCAAAGGAAAAACCCACCUACCUGUUCUAGAGCCGGGCACCCCAUGCCUACCAUGCCACCAGAAAGGGGAAGCUCCAAGAACCCCAAAGUCCGCCAGAAAACCAAUCCUUGCCAGUGUAAUGGGCAAGAGUCAGCACACCAUUGAGAGCCCAAAUUGGCCCAAAACCCCCCAAAACCUGCUGCAGCAGCAAACAGCUGGAAGUCAGCGGAAAGACUAGGGGGGGGCCAGACU